rnacentral:tRNA from 1 species
CACUUCAAGCAAUCUUAUGCAAAGCAAAGGAUGAAAUGUCAAAAGAAGAGAAACCGAACAUCACCUA